GGGGGGAAGCGCAGAUUUGUGGGCUGUGUCCCAUGGUGCCCUUGGCUCCAGGGCCUGCACUGUUGGAAUCACGCUCCGGCACCGUGCAGCCCCCU
rnacentral:pre_miRNA from 1 species